rnacentral:rRNA from 1 species
UACGAAGGGGGCUAGCGUUGCUCGGAAUCACUGGGCGUAAAGCGCACGUAGGCGGUUUGCUAAGUCAGGGGUGAAAUCCUGGAGCUCAACUCCAGAACUGCCUUUGAUACUGGCGAGCUUGAGUCCGGGAGAGGUGAGUGGAACUGCGAGUGUAGAGGUGAAAUUCGUAGAUAUCCGCAAGAACACCAGUGGCGAAGGCGGCUCACUGGCCCGGUACUGACGCUGAGGUGCGAAAGCGUGGGGAGCAAACAGG